AGAGAGAGUCAAACAGUACGUGAAACCGUCAGUAGGGAAACGAACGAGGUUGGUGCAGUGAUCGCGCAGGUUCAAGCACCGCCGAGGGUGCCGACGCGGCGACGGAGAUCGUCCCGUGUCGUCCACCCAAGGCGGUGCCGUACUCCUCGCGAGCACGGACCAGCGGCGGUUGGACCGGAGCCAGAAGGCGGCAGCGGAAGGUGAGUUGAUGCGGGCCUGUCCGGCAUCGACAGCUUACAGCCCUGCCGUACGGCGGUCCGGUCCGACCGAGGAAACAGGGCAGCCCUUGCCCGUCGUGGUACACGCCGCAUGGCGGGGCCUCCCGACACGAGUGAACCGUGCGGUGCGGACUGCACGCAGUGCGGAUCGUGGCGGCGAUCUCGUGCCGGUGAGCGUCACCCGUGUGCCAGUGCUGCUGGUAUUCAGACGGCCUCGUCCGACCCGUCUUGAAACACGG
rnacentral:sRNA from 2 species